UACGUAGGUGGCAAGCGUUGUUCGGAAUUACUGGGCGUAAAGGGCGCGUAGGCGGCCUGCUAAGUCGGACGUGAAAUCCCUCGGCUCAACCGAGGAACUGCGUCCGAUACUGGUGGGCUUGAAUCCGGGAGAGGGAUGUGGAAUUCCAGGUGUAGCGGUGAAAUGCGUAGAUAUCUGGAGGAACACCGGUGGCGAAGGCGGCAUCCUGGACCGGUAUUGACGCUGAGGCGCGAAAGCUAGGGGAGCAAACGGG
rnacentral:rRNA from 1 species